rnacentral:tRNA from 1 species
GGGCCGUUAGCUCAGUUUGCAUGGCACCGGACUCAUAAUCCGCCUCCGAAAGGACAUCGUCGGUUCGACUCCGACCCGGCCCA